AGAGUUUGAUCAUGGCUCAGGAUGAACGCUGGCGGCGUGCCUAACACAUGCAAGUCGAGCGAUUCUCUUCAGAGCAGAGCGGCGGACGGGUGAGUAACGCGUGGGUAACCUGCCCUGUACACACGGAUAACAUACCGAAAGGUAUGCUAAUACAGGAUAACAUAUUUUGAUGGCAUCAUCGAAAUAUCAAAGCUCCGGCGGUACAGGAUGGACCCGCGUCUGAUUAGCUAGUUGGUGAGGUAAUGGCUCACCAAGGCGACGAUCAGUAGCCGACCUGAGAGGGUGAUCGGCCACAUUGGAACUGAGACACGGUCCAAACUCCUACGGGAGGCAGCAGUGGGGAAUAUUGCACAAUGGGCGAAAGCCUGAUGCAGCAACGCCGCGUGAGCGAUGAAGGCCUUCGGGUCGUAAAGCUCUGUCCUCAAGGAAGAUAAUGACGGUACUUGAGGAGGAAGCCCCGGCUAACUACGUGCCAGCAGCCGCGGUAAUACGUAGGGGGCUAGCGUUAUCCGGAAUUACUGGGCGUAAAGGGUGCGUAGGUGGUUUUUUAAGUCAGAAGUGAAAGGCUACGGCUCAACCGUAGUAAGCUUUUGAAACUGAGAAACUUGAGUGCAGGAGAGGAGAGUAGAAUUCCUAGUGUAGCGGUGAAAUGCGUAGAUAUUAGGAGGAAUACCAGUUGCGAAGGCGGCUCUCUGGACUGUAACUGACACUGAGGCACGAAAGCGUGGGGAGCAAACAGGAUUAGAUACCCUGGUAGUCCACGCCGUAAACGAUGAGUACUAGGUGUCGGGGGUUACCCCCCUCGGUGCCGCAGCUAACGCAUUAAGUACUCCGCCUGGGAAGUACGCUCGCAAGAGUGAAACUCAAAUGAAUUGACGG
rnacentral:rRNA from 1 species